UACGUAGGGUGCGAGCGUUAAUCGGAAUUACUGGGCGUAAAGCGUGCGCAGGCGGCGCGUUAAGACAGGUGUGAAAGCCCCGAGCUUAACUUGGGAAUUGCGCUUGUGACUGGCGAGCUGGAGUGUGGCAGAGGGAGGUGGAAUUCCACGUGUAGCAGUGAAAUGCGUAGAGAUGUGGAUGAACACCGAUGGCGAAGGCAGCCUCCUGGGCCAGCACUGACGCUCGAUGCACGAAAGCGUGGGGAGCAAACAGG
rnacentral:rRNA from 1 species